rnacentral:rRNA from 1 species
GACGAACGCUGGCGGCGUGCUUAACACAUGCAAGUCGAACGGAAAGGCCCUGCUUUUGUGGGGUGCUCGAGUGGCGAACGGGUGAGUAACACGUGAGUAACCUGCCCUUGACUUUGGGAUAACUUCAGGAAACUGGGGCUAAUACCGGAUAGGAGCUCCUGCUGCAUGGUGGGGGUUGGAAAGUUUCGGCGGUUGGGGAUGGACUCGCGGCUUAUCAGCUUGUUGGUGGGGUAGUGGCUUACCAAGGCUUUGACGGGUAGCCGGCCUGAGAGGGUGACCGGCCACAUUGGGACUGAGAUACGGCCCAGACUCCUACGGGAGGCAGCAGUGGGGAAUAUUGCACAAUGGGCGGAAGCCUGAUGCAGCAACGCCGCGUGCGGGAUGACGGCCUUCGGGUUGUAAACCGCUUUCGCCUGUGACGAAGCGUGAGUGACGGUAAUGGGUAGAGAAGCACCGGCUAACUACGUGCCAGCAGCCGCGGUGAUACGUAGGGUGCGAGCGUUGUCCGGAUUUAUUGGGCGUAAAGGGCUCGUAGGUGGUUGAUCGCGUCGGAAGUGUAAUCUUGGGGCUUAACCCUGAGCGUGCUUUCGAUACGGGUUGACUUGAGGAAGGUGGGGGAGAAUGGAAUUCCUGGUGGAGCGGUGGAAUGCGCAGAUAUCAGGAGGAACACCAGUGGCGAAGGCGGUUCUCUGGGCCUUUCCUGACGCUGAGGAGCGAAAGCGUGGGGAGCGAACAGGCUUAGAUACCCUGGUAGUCCACGCUGUAAACGGUGGGUACUAGGUGUGGGGUCCAUUCCACGGGUUCCGUGCCGUAGCUAACGCUUUAAGUACCCCGCCUGGGAAGUACGGCCGCAAGGCUAAAACUCAAAGGAAUUGACGGGGCCCCGCACAAGCGGCGGAGCAUGCGGAUUAAUUCGAUGCAACGCGUAGAACCUUACCUGGGUUUGACAUGGAUCGGGAGCGCUCAGAGAUGGGUGUGCCUCUUUUGGGGUCGGUUCACAGGUGGUGCAUGGCUGUCGUCAGCUCGUGUCGUGAGAUGUUGGGUUAAGUCCCGCAACGAGCGCAACCCUUGUUCACUGUUGCCAGCACGUUAUGGUGGGGACUCAGUGGAGACCGCCGGGGUCAACUCGGAGGAAGGUGGGGAUGACGUCAAGUCAUCAUGCCCCUUAUGUCCAGGGCUUCACGCAUGCUACAAUGGCUGGUACAGAGAGUGGCGAGCCUGUGAGGGUGAGCGAAUCUCGGAAAGCCGGUCUCAGUUCGGAUUGGGGUCUGCAACCCGACCUCAUGAAGUCGGAGUCGCUAGUAAUCGCAGAUCAGCAACGCUGCGGUGAAUACGUUCCCGGG